CUUGGUCAUUUAGAGGAAGUAAAAGUCGUAACAAGGUUUCCGUAGGUGAACCUGCGGAAGGAUCAUUAUCGAUGGCCGCGCCGCGAGCGCCUCGGCGGGAUCGGCCGGCCACUGACCACACCCUUACUCUACGAGCACCUUUCGUUCUCCUUCGGCGGGGCGACCCGCCGCUGGAACCUCAUCACGAACCCUUUUUGCAUCUAGCAUUACCUGUUCUGAUAAAUUUAAUCGUUACAACUUUCAACAAUGGAUCUCUUGGCUCUGGCAUCGAUGAAGAACGCAGCGAAAUGCGAUAAGUAGUGUGAAUUGCAGAAUUCAGUGAAUCAUCGAAUCUUUGAACGCACCUUGCGCUCCUUGGUAUUCCGAGGAGCAUGCCUGUUUGAGUGUCAUUAAAUUCUCAACCUCACCAACUUUUUGUUGUGUGAAGGCUUGGAUUUGGAGGCGUGCAGGUCCACACUUUUAGUGGUCUGCUCCUCUGAAAUGUAUUAGUGGGUUGGGCCCUCUAAUCUAUUGGUGUGAUAAUUAUCUACGCCGUGGAUUUGGGAAGCUACAUCAGACCUGCUUCUAACCGUCCUCACGGGGGACAACACUUGACAAUUUUGACCUCAAAUCAGGUAAGACUACCCGCUGAACUUAAGCAUAUCAAUAAGCGGAG
rnacentral:rRNA from 1 species